rnacentral:rRNA from 1 species
UACGGGGGGGGGCAAGCGUUGUUCGGAAUUACUGGGCGUAAAGGGCUCGUAGGCGGCCAACUAAGUCAGACGUGAAAUCCCUCGGCUUAACCGGGGAACUGCGUCUGAUACUGGAUGGCUUGAGUUUGGGAGAGGGAUGCGGAAUUCCAGGUGUAGCGGUGAAAUGCGUAGAUAUCUGGAGGAAUACCGGUGGCGAAGGCGGCAUCCUGGACCGGCAUUGACGCUGAGGAGCGAAAGCCAGGGGAGCAAACGGGG